rnacentral:pre_miRNA from 1 species
GAGACACCCUUCUGGGGCAAGACUUGCUUCAAUGGGUCUUUGGUGCUCACUGAGUCUGCCCCCUGAGUGUGUCCUU